rnacentral:tRNA from 1 species
AUCUAUAUAUCUAAGAUUAAGGGCUGGGUUCUUACCUCAGUGAUGUGGUUUACACUGUAGAUU